UCCACAUUUAUUGUAAGUCCUAGAUGAAAAAUACUGAAAAGAUUACUUUUGUUUUAUCCCCAGAUUACUAAGAAAGUUCAUUGGCACAAAUAUCCAGAGGUAUCUUACAGUUUCAUUUAGCUUUGGUGAUAAAGUAUAUUUGCUAACUGUGAGGAUACUUAGCUUCCAAUACAGAUUACCCUAAAAAAUUUUUAAAUGUAUCCUUUUUUUUCCUAAAAAAGGGAUGUAAAAAGUCCAAUAUGAAACAGAAAAAGUACACAUGAAAUACAAAAUACACUGUCUAUUAGGCUCUAGAGCAGUUAAUGGUGCUACAUGGUGUCUACAAACUUUUGUCACAGUAACAUCACUACCUUACAAAUACUAAAAGUAAAAACCAUUUAAAAUAGCACAUGAACUUUACAAAAUGGAUCCCCAUAGACUUCUUAGACCGAGAUUAGGAUUCAGAUAGGAAAGUUUGCUCUAACUAAACACCAAUAGAUCUAGUUUUCCACUGAUGUUCAAAUCAACAACGUACAGAAUGAUUACAGGUUGAUUCUGACUCAGAUAACCAUUCUACACCGUCAUCAGAAGUUAAGUGGUUUCUUAGCAUACAGAUGGGUUUUGGCAGCAUAACAUGCCAUGCCCUUAUAAAAAACUGCUCUUGAUUUUAAGAUUAUUAUUCCCACACUUUAAUCAAGUUGUAGCUUAGAUACUGCCAGCUUUGAAACACAUGGUUGCCCUCGUUGCACGGCUAUGUUUGCAGCAUUAACAGAGUAACAGAUGUCUUAAAUUAUCACCACUUCCGAUUCUUGCUCUGUUCUCAAAACCAAGCUACCAACAUAGGAAAUUCUGUUUUCAUUUAUUCACGAUGUUUUACAGAUGCACAAGUUUAAGCAUUUGUAGCACACACUUGGACUGCUGAUCUGAUUUCCAUUUCCCAUAAUCCUAUGGAGAGCUAGGAAUUCGAGGAGCCCAGAGCUUUCUUAUUCCCUCACGCAUCAGCAAGCCUUAUGCUGAGAAAGUAGAUACUCACAGAAUUAUAAAUGUGUCCUGUUCAAAAAGUCUGCAGUAAGAUCCCAUCUCUCAUUCUUAGAGUUUGUAGAGUGAGUCCUGUAUUUAUUUUCUGUGGUAGGGAAGCUUUCCUGGAAGGAACUAAUGUCGUAAACUCUCAUGGUGCCCUUUAUUCUGGCAAGUGUCAUACUCCCCAAAUGGACUGUGACCCUCGACAAACUUCAUAGUCUGUUUCCUAUGAUAUACAAAUUCACAAAUCUUCCACACAGUUGAAAAACAACCAACAAAAUCCUCGGAUCCAAUGAAUCAACAUACUUCUAGAUUUUCCCCAUCUGUUCAAUUACAGCUUUCUAAAAGUUUGUAUCCAAACCAAAUACUGCAAGGCAAUGCAUGACUAAUUCAGACCUGUCUAAGGAGACAUAUGAGGCACCUGGCUUAUCCUACGAUUACGGAAUCAACUGCUCAUGAUAUUUGUGGAUCCCCACCUCUUGAGUAUUUUUGUGUGCACAUGUUCAUGUAUGUGCACCUGUGUAUACAUACAGGUGCAGGGACGGAUCAGAGGGUAGGGCAGAGGUCAAGGCUGGAUGUCUCCCUCAAACACUUUCUACCUCAUCUUAUGCCACAGGAUCUUUCACUGAACCUGAAACUUGCCAAGAUGGCUGGCCGGCCAACAAGCCCCAAAAGUCUGUCUCCACCCUCCCAGUGCUGGGAUUAUAAGCAGGCACUAGUCAGCCAGUUUCUCCCGUGGAUUCUGUCAGUCUCUACUGGGGUCCUCGUGCUCGCACUGCAGGCACGUGACCAUCUGAAGCAUCUCUCCAGGCCUACUUCCCAUGAGCCUCUGCAGCUUCGAAGAACUACUAAAAACCGAGUUCUGCUUCCCUGUUUCACCAUCCUCCAUAGGAGGGUGCAUGGUGAAUGAACACCUUCUCUGUGUGUGGGAUUAGGAGGGUGCAUGGUGAAUGAACACCUUAUGCUAUGAGUGAAAAGAGUAAAAGGCUAAAAGAAAGUACAGGGACUUGGUAAUGAAUAAGACAAUCAGCCUUGUAUGAAUUCGUGAGCACUGUGAAAACGUGUCAUGUUGACAUGUGUGAUAAUUAUAUAGAUACUAUUAUAGACUACUCAAUAAAAAGUAUCCCGUCACAGACAGCUGAAAUUACAUAACUAAAAUAUAAAAAGAUUUAAAAGACUAAUCAAUACAUGAUCAAUAUAGAUAUAGGGCAGCUUCAAAAAUCAGUGUUAACCCAGCAUAAAUGGUUUCUUUAGAAGUUUUUGUUAUAGUGAUACCCAAGAGUAAAAUUUACUUAAUUUUGGUAUGAAGUGAAUCCAGGCGAGCUGUGUGUUACUCAACAGUAGAGAACGUAAUUAAGAUACUGGGGCUCUGGAUUCAAUUCCUGGUGUGCUCAUUCACAUAGACACACGACUGCAAUAGCAACUUCUAUCUAAUUAUCAGUCCAGGAGCUGGAGAGCAGGCUUAGUCAAGAGCCCAUGCUGUUCUGCAGGGUUCCUAGCAUUGACAUCCAGCAACACCCACCUGUAACUCAGGCUCUAGGUGAUCUACCGCCCUCUGCUGGCCACAGUGAGCACCCGCAAAAUGAGUCUUCAAAAAAUAUAUCAGGUCUAAAUUAUAGUAGCAAUAAUCUACGAGGGCAUUUCAAAAAUACUAAGCACUCAAUAAUCAGACAGAUUAACUGUCUGACAUAUACCCAAUCUAUUUACAAGCAAGAACCUAGUUGUUAAAUAAGUACAUUUAUCCAAAAAUUUAAUUUCUUUAAGAAAAAAAAUGACAACAGCAGAACUCAAAAAUUUGCUGUAUUAAUAUCUAACAUAACUAAUAUUUGUGUAAACAUGAUAAAGUAUGUGAUGUUUAUAUAAAAUAGUUUCCUUUUAAGGGAUAGCACUUUUCCUAAUCAGAUAGUCUACCCGGCUUUCUGUGUCUAAAUGCCUGGUGAAGACUUAUCAAAGUACGCGCUUCCGUGUCUACAUGUGAGCGUGUAUGUCUGCGUGGCAGACGGCCGAGGACACAGACCACUUUUAUUUGAAAUAUUUUGCUGGCAUAAAUAAGACUUUAAAGGCUUAGGGAAUUAGUACUUUCAGACAAAAAUAUUGUGAGAAUUAGUGUUCUUUAAUAACCAAUAACCUACCCAUGAGUAAGAAAUCAAACCUGAUACAUCUUAUUCAUGAGCAGGAAGACUUUAGAUCUCAUAAAUAAAUAACCAUGGCUGUCAAAAAGUCUAACACCAAAUUCUGGAAAGUUCUUUCUGUGUUUAGAUGUAUGUUCAAAUUCAGAAAGUUAAAGCAGUGACAUUGAGCUAUGUCUAUAACACCACUGACAGAAUGAAGACAGCAUGUGUAGAGGCCUUACUUCUCCAGCAAAAUCAGAGCAGCUACAUCCCUGUUUAGAUUCACAAGUGCUGUGCCACGAGAGAGCUGUAAUUACCUAAUGGACUCACUCUCAGGUACUCAAUAAACACUGUGGUAUAGUUUAUUCCUUUUGAUACUCUUCUAAAACAAGAGACUAAAAGGUCUGCCAUGUCUAGUAGAACAGCCUUCCUUUAAAAGUCUUAAUAAGUAAAAAUGUGAAUACUUAACAAGCACGAUGCCAGUGGAGACAGCAACGGAACCAUACAAACUAGCUACCUUCCAUGGUAAUAACCCUCUGACUAAUGCUGAAGGAGGAAAGACCCAGGGAAGAGCCCCUGGGGAAAUGAGGCAAGUUACUAAUGUGGCUGAUGUGAGAGUAGUCCUCUGGUUGGCAGUAGGAGCUGAGAGGCUGCGACACCGGGUGUGAUAGCAGAACAGACGAGGGCAACUGUGAAUUCUCACUAACACUGGAGGACUUCACGGGGAAGGCUUAUGGGCAUUUACAGAACACACGUUCCUCUAAGUGAAGGGCUCUGUGACACAGGUCUGAUUCAGCUUGAGUUUAUUCUAAGGGAAGGCAAAGAGCAACUAUGUUCUUCCAGCUCCCGACCUUCCUAUUUACCUGUAGCUAAGAAUGAACUAUAUAAUUGGAAAUGAAUUAAAAUGUUACCCCCAGUGGCAACACUGUAUCCUAGUAGACACCUCUACAAACCGAGACUCUGUUCGUAAUGAGUGACGCAGGAGUGAGAUCUAUUCAGGCAGUGUUCACAUCUUCAUUUCUAAAGCAGCAAUGGCUGCCCGCUGCUCCUCUCUUAGUUUCUAGUUCUGUACCUCAAGUGCAAUGCUGUCUUUCUGCUCAGACCCCGCCUCAAAUGAUGCAAGCCCAGAGCUGUUCCAGCCUCUGGAGCUACCCCUUAAUAACCGAUCAUUGCUACAGGUACUUCAGGCAACCACAGGGGCAGAGACGGACUGUGCCAAUGUGAAAUCUGCAAGAACAUUCUUUUGAUAACAGAUCUUUCGAUAGAUCUCUUCCAUGCUUCUAAUAUUCAACAAGUGUACAAAGUGAGAUUCAUAUUUGAAAACUCAAGAAAAUAUCAUUGUUUUGAAUCUGAAUUGUAGCAGUCAACAACAACAAAAAA
ensembl:lncRNA